CCCCCGGCCCGAUCGGAGCUGGACGCGCUGCGGGAGCGCAUGGACAGGCUGCAGGACGAUUACGCCAAUUCCCAGCGGCUCAAUCGGCUCCUGGAGGAGCGGCUCACGGGGCUGGCCCAGGCCAUGGCCCUGGAACGAGCCGCCCUGAGCCGCCACGUGGCCGAGGUGCUGCAGAGGGUCUGGGGGCCCCUGC